GGCAAUCUGCCCUAAAGACUGGGAUACCACUUGGAAACAGGUGCUAAUACCGGAUAACAACAUGAAUCGCAUGAUUCAAGUUUGAAAGGCGGCGUAAGCUGUCACUUUAGGAUGAGCCCGCGGCGCAUUAGCUAGUUGGGGGGUAAAGGCCUACCAAGGCAAUGAUGCGUAGCCGAGUUGAGAGACUGAUCGGCCACAUUGGGACUGAGACACGGCCCAAACUCCUACGGGAGGCAGCAGUAGGGAAUCUUCCACAAUGGACGCAAGUCUGAUGGAGCAACGCCGCGUGAGUGAAGAAGGUUUUCGGAUCGUAAAGCUCUGUUGUUGGUGAAGAAGGAUAGAGGCAGUAACUGGUCUUUAUUUGACGGUAAUCAACCAGAAAGUCACGGCUAACUACGUGCCAGCAGCCGCGGUAAUACGUAGGUGGCAAGCGUUGUCCGGAUUUAUUGGGCGUAAAGCGAGCGCAGGCGGAAUGAUAAGUCUGAUGUGAAAGCCCACGGCUCAACCGUGGAACUGCAUCGGAAACUGUCAUUCUUGAGUGCAGAAGAGGAGAGUGGAAUUCCAUGUGUAGCGGUGGAAUGCGUAGAUAUAUGGAAGAACACCAGUGGCGAAGGCGGCUCUCUGGUCUGCAACUGACGCUGAGGCUCGAAAGCAUGGGUAGCGAACAGGAUUAGAUACCCUGGUAGUCCAUGCCGUAAACGAUGAGCGCUAGGUGUUGGGGACUUUCCGGUCCUCAGUGCCGCAGCAAACGCAUUAAGCGCUCCGCCUGGGGAGUACGACCGCAAGGUUGAAACUCAAAGGAAUUGACGGGGGCCCGCACAAGCGGUGGAGCAUGUGGUUUAAUUCGAAGCAACGCGAAGAACCUUACCAGGUCUUGACAUCCUGUGCUACACCUAGAGAUAGGUGGUUCCCUUCGGGGACGCAGAGACAGGUGGUGCAUGGCUGUCGUCAGCUCGUGUCGUGAGAUGUU
rnacentral:rRNA from 1 species